UACAGAGGGGGCAAGCGUUGUUCGGAAUUACUGGGCGUAAAGGGCGCGUAGGCGGCCAACUAAGUCGGACGUGAAAUCCCCCGGCUUAACCUGGGAACUGCGUCUGAUACUGGGAGGCUUGAGUAUGGGAGAGGGAUGUAGAAUUCCAGGUGUAGCGGUGAAAUGCGUAGAUAUCUGGAGGAACACCGGUGGCGAAGGCGGCAUCCUGGACCGACACUGACGCUGAGGCGCGAAAGCUAGGGUAGCAAACGGG
rnacentral:rRNA from 1 species